CUACGGGGGGCAGCAGUGGGGAAUAUUGGGCAAUGGGCGAAAGCCUGACCCAGCAACGCCGCGUGAAGGAAGAAGGUUUUCGGAUCGUAAACUUCUAUCCCAGGUGAAGAUAAUGACGGUAGCCUGGAAGGAAGCCCCGGCUAACUACGUGCCAGCAGCCGCGGUAAUACGUAGGGGGCAAGCGUUGUCCGGAAUGAUUGGGCGUAAAGGGCGCGUAGGCGGCCUUCUAAGUCCGAUGUGAAAGUCCUGCUUUUAAGGUGGGAAUUGCAUUGGAAACUGGAGGGCUUGAGUGCAGGAGAGGUAAGUGGAAUUCCCGGUGUAGCGGUGAAAUGCGUAGAGAUCGGGAGGAACACCAGUGGCGAAGGCGACUUACUGGGCUGUAACUGACGCUGAGGCGCGAAAGUGUGGGGAGCAAACAGGAUUAGAUACCCUAGUAGUC
rnacentral:rRNA from 1 species